rnacentral:rRNA from 1 species
GAUGAACGCUAGCUACAGGCUUAACACAUGCAAGUCGAGGGGUAACGAGAGGAAAGCUUGCUUUCCUUGUCGACGACCGGCGCACGGGUGAGUAACGCAUAUCCAACCUGCCCCCAACUAGGGAAUAACCUUGCGAAAGUAAGACUAAUACCCUAUAAUUUCCUCAGAUGACAUCUGACGAGGAAUAAAGAUUUAUCGGUUGUGGAUGGGGAUGCGUCUGAUUAGCUUGUUGGCGGGGUAACGGCCCACCAAGGCAACGAUCAGUAGGGGUUCUGAGAGGAAGGUCCCCCACAUUGGAACUGAGACACGGUCCAAACUCCUACGGGAGGCAGCAGUGAGGAAUAUUGGUCAAUGGGCGGAAGCCUGAACCAGCCAAGUAGCGUGCAGGAUGACGGCCCUAUGGGUUGUAAACCGCUUUUAUACAGGAAUAAAGUUAGCCACGUGUGGUUAUUUGUAGGUACUGUAUGAAUAAGGACCGGCUAAUUCCGUGCCAGCCGCCGCGGUAA